CGCUGGAAGCCAAAUUAGGCUUUGCAUUGAAUAUAACUGCUGAUUGGAAGCUUUGUGCUGCAGAGAACAUUUUGAGCCGCUGCUAGCGUGGCUGGAAUUGUGUUGACUUCCCAUCAGUAGAACGACGCCGUUCUGAGGUGUUAUUGCCACACUUUUGGUCUGAAGCUGCUGCAAAGGAAUUGGACCAAUAUGAUUGUGCUGUGAAUUAAUAAAACGAUGCGUUUUGGCAGCUGGACUUGGUUUUAAUUAAGUGAAACGCAGCGUUUGACAGUGUUGCAGCACCAAGGGUCUGCUAUCUUCAUUUUCAUCUGCAAGGCUGCCCGAGAAGUUCAUUUUGGAGGAAAAGAGAAAAAUCCCUCGAGCUAGGGUUCAAGUGAGAAGACAGUUGAUGCCACUGACCGGGAGCUGACCAAAGGUGUUGAGGAGCUGACCAGAGUUUAAGUUGAUCGGAGGGCUUGAAGAGGAGAUCAAACCGGCAAGGAUUGGUGACCAUCCGAUUCGGAGAGCUAAACGAUCAAGCUGCGAAGGUCUGGAAGGGCCAAGGAUCAAGAAAGUGGAAACAUGCACACAGUGACGGUUUCUUUGUGCAGUUUGAGUCACCCUCUCUGCGAAAGCUCUUUUUCAUAGCCAGUUCAAAUGAAAAGGGACAGACAUUGUGCAGGGAUCCAGAGGUUUUGGACAUUAGUGUUCAUGAAGUUCUUCCUCGGUUAUUCAAAUAAAAGAUGCCCUGAUCUUAGUGUACUUAACUAGUGCUUGGUGUAUAUUUAUUGGGCAUUCAUCCCUUCACCUCCCCAUUUCAAACCUACACCUCCCAUUUUUUUUCUUUAAUUACAAAAAUAACCUUUUCUUAUUUUUUUUUCCAUUUUCCAAAAUUCCAACUCUCCCACUCUCAUCUUCCUGUGCUUUUAAGUUUUGGUGUGCGGCGGUGCGACGGGUGUGUGCAGCGGUGCAACGCGGUGGUUUUUGUUUCGUAGUUUCGUUUAUGCCUCUUGGUCUACGAGAUGUUAAUUUCUUUCUUUCAACAUGAUAUAGGUUGUGUUGAUUUCUGCUUCCUUUGAAAAUGUAUGUAAUAUAGGGUUUAAGAUUGUGUUGAUUUCUGAUGUGCCCGAUUGCGAUUUUCUGUUUCGUUUCUGUUGAUGUUUCUGGGUGGAUAGGAGGAAGAAGACGUCCAGGCUUAAAUCGGAUGUCGCACAUCCGUCGACGGAUUUCGACAUCUGUUUAGGACCUAUUUUUUUUUUUUUUAAGUUUUUAGUUUAUUUUAUAAGUAAUUAAAUUUUAACUUUUAA